GAUGAACGCUGGCGGCGUGCCUAAUACAUGCAUGUCGAGCGAACAGACGAGGAGCUUGCUCCUCUGACGUUAGCGGCGGACGGGUGAGUAACACGUGGAUAACCUACCUAUAAGACUGGGAUAACUUCGGGAAACCGGAGCUAAUACCGGAUAAUAUAUUGAACCGCAUGGUUCAAUAGUGAAAGACGGUUUUGCUGUCACAUAUAGAUGGAUCCGCGCCGCAUUAGCUAGUUGGUAAGGUAACGGCUUACCAAGGCAACGAUGCGUAGCCGACCUGAGAGGGUGAUCGGCCACACUGGAACUGAGACACGGUCCAGACUCCUACGGGAGGCAGCAGUAGGGAAUCUUCCGCAAUGGGCGAAAGCUUGACGGAGCAACGCCGCGUGAGUGAUGAAGGUCUUCGGAUCGUAAAACUCUGUUAUUAGGGAAGAACAAAUGUGUAAGUAACUAUGCACGUCUUGACGGUACCUAAUCAGAAAGCCACGGCUAACUACGUG
rnacentral:rRNA from 1 species